CUCAGGAACAGGUCCUCUCGAGAAAACCGGUCUUUGAGAGAUCGGUCCCUCGAGUGGGAGACCGGUCCCUCGCUGCGUGACAGAAAACACAACGUUCGGGAAUCGGUCUCUCAUGCCAGAGACCGAUCCCUCGCUGCGUGACAGAGAAACCCAUGUUCGGGAACCGGUCUCACUUUCCAGAGACCGGUUGCCUUAAUAUUCUAUGCAGUGAGGACCCUCGGGGACUGGUCUCUCAACCCUGGAACCGGUCCCAGAACACUGAGAAGUUCAGAUUCAGCUUCUUAAUGCAAUCCAAGUCUUCUAAACUUAUUUUUUGAUUAAAAUCACCAUAAAUGAUCUAUUUUUCAUACCUGAGGUGCCGAGCUUUCCGAAUGAAUCUUUGAUCUUCAACUUGCAUCUUAGUUUCAAAACUCCGUGCUUGAUUUUUCAAGACUCCAUUUGACUUUACGAAAUCCGCCAACCUAAAAAAUCCAUAACAAAUCCGGGGGUAUCGCCUCAUUAACUCACCAACUCAAAGUCCAUAAUCGCGGGCCCUCAGCUUCCUCCCGCUAGGACUAUCCUCUGGGGAACAGAACCACCCAGUGAUGACAAACUCCGGAGCGCAUCGCCCGAGGGGGAGCUACCGCCCUCGAGCAAGGACUUAUAGCGAGUAUGAUCAAUCCUUAACUCUAAGGAUAUUCAGUUCAAUCUGUUCCUUAACUCUAAGAAAUUUAUGCACAAAUGACCCUUAGCUCUAAGGUUGAAUGUCAUUGUGUCAAUCUCAUGUUCUUUGCAUUCUUUAUCUUCGACCAUGUCAAUACACUAACUCUAGUGUUCUUUACAUUCUUUACUAUCAUUCAUAUUAUACAUUAACUCUAGUAUUCUUGGAUGCCCCACAUUUAAUGCUAUCUUUAGCCAUUGUUCUUUAUGCCACAUUUUGUUGCUAACUCUAGCAAUUGUCAUUCUUUGAUGCCACACAUUUGCUAACUCUAGCUUUUAUCAUUCUUUAUACCACAUUUGUUCUCUUUGAUGCCACACACAUUAGCUCUAGUGUUCUUUACGUCAUACGUCAUGCUAACUUUAGCUUUCAUUCUCAACAUUACAUUGUCCUCAUGUCAUAUGUCACUUGUUCUUUAACUUCAUUAAGCUCUUAUCUCUUUUUACAUGCACAUAUAGGGUUAUUACAUUCUCAUCGGUUUUCAACCAUUUCAUGAUGCACUUGAACUCACAAAAUGCAAGCAUUCACAUAUUUAUAAUCUCAUUACCCUACUAUGCAUGCAACAAUUAUAUAUGUAUGCUCAAGAAGUGACACAUUAGACAUAAAGGGAAUUCCAACAAGUUUGGAAGGCACCACCCACCUCGUAGGCUUUCUUAGGUGCUACGGUAAUUUUCUUGGAAUUUUUAGACUCCUAAUUCGUCACCUGCGGCAAAACGAAGCCAUAUUAGGCCUUUUUGCUCAUAACUUUACAUAGGCUUUUUGUAAUGUCAAUCCGAGCUCACCAACGCGUUCGUUUGGUCCCCAAUUAGGUUUCUAGAUGGUCAAUUUCACUUUGAAUCCCUCACAAGCAAAAGUUCCAAAUUUUAGGUGCCCUAGCUUCACAUACACCAAAUCUAGGAUUUUGAUCUCUUAGAGAAGCAAAAGAAAGCUUCAAAACUCUUUAAUCAUUCCAUUAAAACCAUUUUUAGGUCAAUCAAAACCCAUUCUAGGGUUUCACCAUGAGAGGGGUUGAAGCUUACCUCUAAGCUUCACCACCUACACCCAAUCCAUGGUUUUGAUCUCAUCCACAAGCAAAAGAAAGCUUGAAAUACCCCAAAAGGCUCUACUAAAACUAUUCAUAGGUCCUUUGGUUCUCAUCUUAGGGUUUUACUAUGAAAGGGAUCAAAGCUUACCUCAAAGCUUUCCCUUCUUUGCUCCAAAGAGGAAGAAGAAGGAGUUGCUCCACUCCUUGGUCUUCUUCUCCACCUUUGUCUUCUUCUACUUCUCCCUCUUUUCUUUUCUUUCUCUUUCUUUCUUCUUCUCCUUCUUGUCUUCUAGAGAGAGAAAGAGGGGAGAGAGUGUGUGAGAGGGAGAGAAUGAGAGAAAUAUCCCAUAACCCCUCAUAACAUAACCCAUGGGUUUAAUUGCAAAUAAACCCCUCAACUUUCACUUUAUUAAACUGCCCAAACUGGGCCAUUUUCGAGCUCGGGGACCGGUCUCCCUGACAAGGGACCGGUCCCAGAGAGCUUUCCCCAUGGGCAGCCAAGGCCCCCGCGCAAUGCAACCAGUCUCUCCCAGAGGGACCGGUCUCUCGGGGACCGGUCUCUCCCCGCAGGGACUGGUUUCCGAGAGCUGGUUUUCUGGGACUUAGCCGAUUUUUCAGCUUUCUCAUUUCUCACGCGUUCGGGGACCGAUCUCUCCCACCAGGGACCGGUCCCCGAGAGCACAAAAGCUGCAGUUUGCAAAUUUUUAUUUCUUUAGCUCUCGAAGAUCUCUUUAAACGCACUUUUACUUAUUUUAACACCUUCGGACUUUCCGAAGUGUACCAUCCUCACACUUUGGUCAAUCUGACUAAAGUUCGAUAUUUAUUUUUCGAAUUUUCGGUAUAUUAAAGACGGAAUUGGAUGUUAUUUUUACUCGCUAUGUGAGCUUAGCGAUACCCUUUAGGACUUAGAACCAUGUCAUGAAAUGGAUAUUUGGUGAUGCCACUUUAGCAUAAUAUCUAAGGGCCAUAAUUGAUUCAGUUCAGCGGAACAUGUCUAGGAAAGCAGUCAAGUUGAAAUGGAUUGGCAUGAGACAUAUGAGGAAAAAUCAUUUGACAAUACACCUAUAAUUCUUGACUCAUAGCCCAGGUGAUUAUGUUGAUAUUUGUUAUUAAUAUAAUCAUGAGUGCAGAUGCACUGAUAAGAGAGAUCUAACUUGCUCUAUAGGGAUUAGAGAUGCUAAAAUCUGGUAUUGUUCAAUGAUUUGUGGUAUAGAAGAGAUUUGGAGUUGUAGUGUUAUAUUAGUUGGAUAGUGGCUUAAUAUAAUACUCCUCACUUGAUUCCUCUUGUUAUUGAUUGCACCAAUUAUUUCUCGUAUGAAGAGUAGAACGAGAUAAGAAUAUAUUUGUGAUGAGACAAUAUGAAUAAGUACCAAGUGUACGAGUGGGAGAGUUAGGAUUCGUCCACAUUGGAACAUAUCUAAAAUAUUUCUAAUCCACAUCGGAUAAGGAAUAAAAUUAAGAGAUAGAUCCUAAUAUAUUUAAAUCUCUAUCUAUGUGAGAUUCCGUUAGAAUAGGAUUGGAACUAACAUCUUUUCUAUGGCCUAUAAAUACAUGAGAUAUUGGCUGCAUACAAUACAAAAAAAAAAAAAAAAAAAAGAAUAAUCUCUCCACAAAAUUCUUUUUCUUGGGUUCACUCUAGGGCAUCAUCAGAAACCUUAGGGAUUUGGGCGGUGUGCUGCAAUCCACUCUGAUAGCCUAUUAGCAACGAGAAAGAACAACAUGUAAGAAAUUGAGACAGAUUGCUGGCGGAUUAAGGAGUUCGUAAAACAAGAUGAGAUCAAAUCCUAAUAAUUGCAACAUUAAUUCCGCAUCAAAGAGGUAUGUAAAAAUCUAUAUCAUUUUUGUACUUUGAUUUGGUUAUUUAUUUUUCCUACAAUUCUAUUAGGCCUAGUUUUGGAUUUAUCUUGCAAAAUCAUCUCUGUUUUUAUACUUUGGAAGGUUUCAAUCUUCUCUGUUUUAGUAUUACCAAAUUGUAAUGAAAAUUGAAAGUGGAGAAGCAUGUAGUUGCAUGCUUCUUAGAAAGAAUAAUUAGAAUUCCAAGAAGCUUUUCAGUGACAACACCUACAAUCUAUAUUUAUUUAUUUCAUUGAUUAUUUAAUUCUUUUUCAAAACCAUAUAUCCUAUUUUCACAGUUAUUUACCUAAAGAAAUAAGGAACAUACUAUUAGAAUUUUAGUUAGAUUUGUAGUUAAAUUCUAGUUAAAUUAAAAUAAAUAUUUAAAUCUAUCAAAAAUAAAUUAAUUUAAAUUUAAAUAUUAAUUAGAAUCGAAUUUUUAAUUAUACUAGAAUUGGAGUAAGUUUUUCUUGAGCUUAAUAUAUAAUUCCAUGGUAUACGGGUUUGUAUGGCUUAGCCUUGUAGUACGGCCAAUUAAUUAGUUGCUUUAUAGUUAGCAGAGCAGAGAAGGUGAGGCCCUAUCAGAGAGAGAGCAGCAAUAUGCUUAGUGCACCUGGUGUCUAGGUGCAUAAGAAUUGUUGAAGUUAGAUGAUUUGAGCAUAGGUUUGAUUUCAAUGAGAGAAGUCUUCUAAACUUAUAGAAGACAAGAGAAGGGUGAGAGGGAUUCAGAAAUAGGGCUUAGGUUGAAGCUACUCUAUACAGAAGAGAAAUCACAUAUAAUUCUUCUCUUAUUUAGUAAAUUUUGUUUUAUCUGUAUUUUCUAUUUGAUUUUUUUCCUUUUUGUAGCUAUGCCAGCUGUUUGCUGAGGAAACGGGUUUCUGGUAAAAAUUUGAUUUGAGCUUUUGUUACGCAAUACCAACUACUGGUACCAAAUCAACAGCGGUCGAUAUCAAGGCGGAUUGCGAAUUUUUCAAAAUAUGAUAUUAGAGUGAGUACCAAAUUCUCAAUAAUUGGUAUUAGAGCUUAAGGUUACUGAUCUUCCGGAGAGAUCGACGAAGAUCGCUACAAAAUUGGAAAUUGAGAAGUUCGACGAUAAAUAAUUUCGGAUUGUGAUAGAUUAAAGUACGGAAAGUCCUCAUACAACAAGAGUUAGAUGAGAUGUUGAACAGGAAGGAAGCGAAGCCGGCAAAGGUCACGGAUUCGAGUUGGGAGAAGAUAGAGUGGAAGGCACCGAGUACGCUUCAUUUAUUAUUAGCAGAUAAGGUUCUUUGCAACAUAGCCAGCAAGUCAACACUGGCGAAGUUGUGGAAGAAAUUGGAAGAGAUCUAUACAUGACUAAAUUCCUGACAAAUUGUAUAUGAAGUAACGACUAUUCAUGCUGCGGAUGCACGAAAUGACGAGCCUAUAUGAGCAUCUGAAUGAGUUCAAUAAGGUGGUAAAUAAGCAGCCUGGUAAAUAAGGUUCGAAAGUGAGAUCGGAUCGUGUGCGAGGUAAAUAAGCAGAGAAAUUUAUACGUUCUGAAUGGGAGCACAGCCUGAACAGGAGAAAAGACGGUUUGGGCUCUAAAAGUUUAUGAAGGUGCAGCCGCUCGAGGUGGAGUAGCGAAUGUGGCGACAUCGAGCGAAGGAGAUACACUCAAAGUGAAGCUCGUAUAGUGAGCUCGACACAAAAGUUGAAGACAACAAAUCAAAUCACGGUGAAGAUUGUUAGAAUUUUGGUUGGAUUUGUAGUUAAAUUUUAGUUAAAUUAGAAUAAAUAUUUAAAUUCAUUAGAGAUAAAUUAAUUUGAAUUUAGAUAUUACUUAUAGUUGAAUUUCUAAUUAUAUUACAAUUGGGUACGUUUUUGUGAAGUUUAAUAUAUCCACGCAAGCCAGUUCGUGUUCGGCUCGAAAUGAGCUCGAGAUCGAAUCGCUCGUUUAUUAAACGAGCCGAACAUGAGCUGGGGUCAGCUCGCUCGUGUUCGGCUCGAUAACAGCUCGAAUACAUAUAUUUAUAUUUAUAUAAUUUGUUUAAUUUAUAUUUAUAUAUAUAAAUAAAUAAUUAUAUAUAUAAUAUAUAUUUUUAUUAUUUAAUUUUUAGCAAAAUAAAAAUAUAAAGGCGAGCUCAAUUAUAAAAAAAUCCAUUUAUAUGUAAAGUUUUAACUAUUAGAUCAAAGUCUAAUGGAUAAGAUUUUAUAAAUUUAUUUUUUAUAUAUAUGUCAAUCCUAUUUUCCUUUUAACUAUUGUCGUGGCACUCGUGUUCAGGCUCGUUCAAUUAAGAGGCAGAACACGAGCUGAAUUUUUUGACUCGAUACCUUAACGAGUCAGCUCGUGUUCAACUUGUUUAAUAAACAAGCCGAACACGAGCCAACCGAGCUCGGUCGUGUUCGGCUCGUUUACACCCCUGCUCCAUGGUAUGCCGUAGAGGUGUUGCUCUCUAAUUAGUAGAGCAGACAGGUGAGACUGUACGGGAGAGUGAGCCAAUAUGCUUAGUGCACCUGGUGUAUAGGUGCAUAAGAAUGGUUAAAGUUAGAUGUUUUGAGCGUAGGUUCGAUUUCAACGGGAGAAAUCUUCUUGAAAAGGGUGAGAGGAAUUGGCAAAGAGGGUGACGGCCGAAACUAUUUUAUGGAGAAGUGUAAUUUAUUUUUAUUUACUGAAUCUUAUUAUACCUGUAUUUUCAGUUUGGUUUUUUUUUUUUGGUUGUGUAAAUUGUUUGCUAAGAAGACGAAUUUAUAAUAAAAAUUCAAUUUGACACUUUUAUUGCGGAAUACCAAUAAUCAAUACCAAAUCAACAACAGUCGAUAUCAAAGCGCAUUGUAAAUUUUCAAAAUCUGAUAUCAGAACGAAUAUUACAUUCCCAACACAUAUUUCGAAAACAAGUACUUUCGGAUUGUGAAGAAAUUAAUAGCAAAGAAGUAAAAGAUUUUAAGUAGCUAAAAAUUUUGAAAUAUGGUUAGUAAUUGACAGUUUUCUAUGAAUGGAGUUUGAACAAAUUAUUUACAUAUUUACCAGAGAAGCUUGUCGUGUUUUGUGUCUGGAUGAGUUUUAACAAAUGAUCGACUCUGCCUUAUAUUAUAUUAUAGGACAAAAAUUUGCUCGGCAUCCGUGCCUAAACAAAUCCGUGCCCAAACAAAUUGUUUGGGCACGGAGCCGGAUGGGCGCCCCAUCACCACCGCCCCUUUCCCCUUUCUCUCUCUCUUUCUAAAAAACAGAGCCCACCAAUUUUUUUUUCUUUUUUCCGAGGGUCGCGAUGGGCGCCGCACGCCGCACACCACGCGGCGCCCAUCGGCAUCGUCCCCGAACAAAAUUGUUUGGGGACGAUGCCCAGCAAAUUUUUGUCCUACUAGUUAAGGGACCCCGCGCUUCGCGGCUGGAAGCCAAUACAAUAAUAAAUUAUUAGAAAUAUUAAAAUCAUUUUUUUUUUCAUAUUAUGUAUUAAUAUUUUUAAAUAUUAUUUAUUUCCGUAUUGAAUAAUUAAAAAUGAAAGAAUGAACUAAAUAAUCCAAAAAAAUAAGGUUAACAUAAUGAGUUGCCGUGUAGAACUUAGACAUUUAUCAGGCAAAUGCAAAUCUGUUGACCAUCAAUUAAUGUAAAUUUCAUGCGAGCCAAUAAACACAGCUUGAAGAGCAUAAUCCAAAAAAUAAGGUAGAAGUAAUAAGUAAACACAGCUUGAAGAGCAUAAUCCAAAACAUAACAGUAAUGCAAACCGGAAUGUAAAGACAGAUAAAUCUGUUGACCAUCAAUUAAUGUAAAUUUCAUGUGAGCCAAUAAACACAGCUUGAAGAGCAUAAUCCAUAAAAUAAGGUAGAAGUAAUAAAUAAACACAGCUUGAAUAGCAUAAUCCAAAAAAUAAGGUAGAAGUAAUAAGCUGCCUUCCUUUCAUACCGAAAACCGGACAAAAGGUGUGAAAAUAAAUAGUAGAUAACAACUGAAGUACGGAAUUAAAGGUAAGUACAUAGUCUGAUAAGCCACACUUAAAAGCUGUGUGCAAUAGCUUUGGCCAAAACAAAAGGAUGGCAACAAAAUGAUAAGUGAGGUAGUAACUAACUACAUAUUCUUACAUGCCAAGCUUAUAAAGCCAACAGUAUCCAAAAUCAAAGUAUGGCAUCAAAAUAGAAUAUGAGUAUACAAAAGAGCCAUUAGUUAAGGCAAUUGAUUAGACAUGGCUUUAGAGGGAUUGGUCUCAGGAACAGGAGGAGGUGUAAGAGCAGUAAUGCGGUUUACUAUGUCAUAGCAUUCUCCAACGGCACGCCGAAGCUGGAUUUGGUCAUUGACAUAUACAUUUUUUUGCUCAACUGUACUCACGAAGCAUUCCUUCAAAAAGUCGUAUUCACGAGAAAGGUUGCUAAGCUGCGUACUUAAUUGUGUAGUUACCACUGUAUAAUCAGUACAUUUGUGGUCAUAUAAAGUCUUAUAGAGCACAGAGUCGUCAUAAUUAACAUCUUUAAUUUGUAAGUCGCAUUCAUCCUUAAUUCUCUUAAGAGCGAGGCGCGCAACAUCUUGUUGAGCACCAAUGGAAGUAGGGAACUGAGAGCUUGAACAACAAACAGUUUGGAUGAUGGUUUUGCUUCGCGGAAUUGCAAAUCCACAUGACCUACAAAUUUUCCUUCAUCAUCCACAUCUACUACAAUCUGUGGCACAUCCAGGUGUAGCUGUUCAUAAACCUCACUGAGCAGUCUAAUGUAAGAAACGUUAAUAGUCGUCAUUUCUCGAGCUGCGGAGAAAAAGGGAAGAAAACAGUUUUUUUUUUUUUCAAAUAUUGGGAGAGGGUUAUAGUGAAAUAAGUUAGAAUGGUGAAAAAAAAAGAAAGAAAAGGAAACGAAAGAUAUCAUGACCAGCUAAUAAAAGCAGAAAAGAAAGGCAUGAAAAAAAGAGGAAAAAAUGCUUAUGUAAAGAAUAACCAAAGCUGCAGGCACACACACACGUUUAUAGUGAGGGAAGAAGAAUCAGAUGGCAUUUAUAGUGAGGGAAGAAGAAGCAGAUGGUUCUUUAAUGCCAUUCAAAGUGUUUUACCUGCACGUUUUUUAACAGGAACCAUACGUAUUUUUGUAAAAANAGAGAGAGAGAGAGAGAGAGAGAGUGAGAGAGAGAGAGAGAGAGAGAGAGAGAGAAUUAGGAUGGAAUACUAUUAAUAGUAAAACGCUUGUUUUGCUAUCAAAUUUUUAACCCUUGGAUGAAAAAUUAUAGGGUCAGAAUGAUAUUAGUCGGUUAGAGUUGAGUGGUCCCCACUGGGUUAUAGUAUUUAAUCCAAUGGUUAGAAAUAAUGAAAAGAAUUGAUCCAGAGGCUAAAAAACUGGUAGCAACAAUGAGAUUUUGCUACUAAUAGUAGCCCAGUCCAACUCUAUAUAUAUGUAUAUAUAUAUAGACACACGCCCAUAAGCAAGUACAAUUGUUACACACUCUCUACCUUUUUUUUUUGGCAGGGGGAUCAGGUAAAAUGUCAUGCACAAAUCAAAACCAAAGCAAACAGGAAAUUGCAAGUAGAAAAAUUAGCGAGGCUCAGAUACUCUAUAUGUAAGCAGCAUUGCUACCAUCCUUUUAUUUAAGUCAUCGGCUGAACAUAAGAGGCUGUAAAUGGUUGCAGAUGGUUGCCUGGGAAAAGGCCAUCCAAACCUGCAAUGCUUAGCCUUUCGCUGGAAUGGAGCAGGAAAAAAGCAAGGAGAAAAAGGCGGGUGAAGUUGAGUGAAAACGUGAAGCUUCAUUUGAAAAGGCGGCAAGUAAAAAAUCUGUAAAACAAUUGAACCAAAUGCUAAAACAGUAAACAAGUAGGGGAUGAUUAAGAAAAGAAAGAACCCAAGCUGUA
rnacentral:lncRNA from 1 species